ACGGCUCAGUAACACGUGGAUAACCUGCCCAAGGGUCUGGGAUAACCCCGGGAAACUGGGGAUAAUACCGGAUGGAUCACUAGUGCUGGAAUGCUUGGUGGUCGAAAGGCAACGCCUUUGGAUGGGUCUGCGGCGGAUUAGGUUGACGCCGGUGUAACGUACCGGCGUGCCUGUAAUCCGUACGGGUUGUGGGAGCAAGAGCCCGGAGAUGGAUUCUGAGACACGAAUCCAGGCCCUACGGGGCGCAGCAGGCCCGAAAACUCUACAAUGCAGGCAACUGCGAUAGGGGGACAUCGAGUGGCAUCCACCUUGGGUGCCUGUCCAACCGUCUAAAAAACGGUUGUUAGCAAGGGCCGGGUAAGACCGGUGCCAGCCGCCGCGGUAAUACCGGCGGCUCGAGUGGUGGCCGAUAUUAUUGAGUCUAAAGGGUCCGUAGCCGGCUUUGCAAGUCCCCUGGGAAAUCCAGCGGCUUAACCGUUGGGCUUUCAUGGGAUACUACAUUGCUUGGGACUGGGAGAGGUAGGAGGUACUCGGGGGGUAGGGGUGAAAUCCUGUAAUCCUCCGGGGACCACCGGUGGCGAAGGCGUCCUACCAGAACAGAUCCGACGGUGAGGGACGAAAGCUAGGGGCACGAACCGGAUUAGAUACCCGGGUAGUCCUAGCCGUAAACGAUGCCCGCUAGGUGUCACGACGGUCGUGAAUCGUCGUGGUGCCGUAGGGAAGCCGCGAAGCGGGCCACUUGGGAAGUACGGCCGCAAGGCUGAAACUUAAAGGAAUUGGCGGGGGAGCAC
rnacentral:rRNA from 1 species